CCUAACACUGACAAUCUAGCGGUAGACGGGAGCUUGCUCCUUGAUUCAGCGGCGGACGGGUGAGUAAUGCCUAGGAAUCUGCCUGGUAGUGGGGGACAACGUUUCGAAAGGAACGCUAAUACCGCAUACGUCCUACGGGAGAAAGCAGGGGACCUUCGGGCCUUGCGCUAUCAGAUGAGCCUAGGUCGGAUUAGCUAGUUGGUGGGGUAAUGGCUCACCAAGGCGACGAUCCGUAACUGGUCUGAGAGGAUGAUCAGUCACACUGGAACUGAGACACGGUCCAGACUCCUACGGGAGGCAGCAGUGGGGAAUAUUGGACAAUGGGCGAAAGCCUGAUCCAGCCAUGCCGC
rnacentral:rRNA from 1 species